CCUACGGGUGGCAGCAGUGAGGAAUAUUGGUCAAUGGACGAGAGUCUGAACCAGCCAAGUAGCGUGAAGGAUGACUGCCCUAUGGGUUGUAAACUUCUUUUAUAUGGGAAUAAAAUGUUCCACGUGUGGGAUUUUGUAUGUACCAUAUGAAUAAGGAUCGGCUAACUCCGUGCCAGCAGCCGCGGUAAUACGGAGGAUCCGAGCGUUAUCCGGAUUUAUUGGGUUUAAAGGGAGCGUAGGUGGAUUUUUAAGUCAGUUGUGAAAGUUUGCGGCUCAACCGUAAAAUUGCAGUUGAAACUGGCAGUCGUGAGUACAGUAGAGGUGGGCGGAAUUCGGGGUGUAGCGGUGAAAUGCUUAGAUAUCACGAAGAACUCCGAUUGCGAAGGCAGCUCACUGGACUGCAACUGACACUGAGGCUCGAAAGUGUGGGUAUCAAACAGGAUUAGAUACCCCUGUAGUC
rnacentral:rRNA from 1 species